AUCACUGUUCUCUCUGUAACGGACCUGUCAGGCAGGGAGCAGCCUUACAGAUGGAAGCUCUGUGCUCCAGACACAGCUCACCUCUCCUCAGCAGAAAGGACUUCUUACAGCCCCACAUAAAAGAGCAGCAAAGUGGUUUUCUUCACAUGUAACCCAAAGGAAAACAUGAGACGCUGUUUUCCACUUCAGCCAAGAUGUCUUUUUAAUACUAUGCAAGCUGGGAGCAUCUUCAAGGCUUUGUUGUUUCUUAAGCAGAGAGGAAAGGAGUAAAGGUUGAAUGAGAAUGCUAAAAACAUUUCUUUGAACUGGUGAGAUUUACUGGUAUGCACAUGGCUCCCAAUACGGAGGCAUAUUUGGAAGAAAGGGAAAAAAAAAAAAAAA